AGGUCAAGGUAUUAAGGGCGUACGGUGGAUGCCUUGGCGCCAGGAGGCGAAGAAGGACGCGGCCAGCGGCGAAACGCCACGGCGAGCUGUAAGCAAGCUACGACCCGUGGAUUUCCGAAUGGGGGAACCCACCUAGGUUUAAGCCUAGGUACCGUAUGGUGAACUAAGUAGCCAUACGGGGCUAGACCCGGGGAACUGAAACAUCUUAGUACCCGGAGGAGGAGAAAGCAAGUAAGCGAUUUCCUAAGUAGCGGCGAGCGAACGGGAAAUAGCCCAAACCUAUACAGUGUAAAAGUCUGACUGCGUUGCUGUAUAGGGGUUGUGGGUAGUACUAAUCCUUCAGUCAGGAAGGAGGUGGUAUGUUUGUUUACUAACCGAACACGACUGGAACGUCGGACCAAAGAGGGUGAAAGUCCCGUAGGUGAAAGUAAAUAAACAACCACUAGUACUCACCCGAGUACCACGGGGCCCGAGAAACCCUGUGGGAACCUGGGAGGACCACCUUCCAAGGCUAAAUACUUCCUGGCGACCGAUAGCGCACAAGUACCGUGAGGGAAAGGUGAAAAGCACCCCGGGAGGGGAGUGAAAUAGAACCUGAAACCGUAUGCCUACAAUCAGUGGAAGCAGCCUUUGGGCUGUGACCGCGUACUUUUUGUAGAACGGGCCGGCGAGUUACGAUCUAGAGCAAGGUUAAGGGCCACAGGUCCGAAGCCGCAGGGAAACCGAGUCUGAAUAGGGCGAAUUCAGUUCUAGGUCGUAGACCCGAAACCGAGUGACCUACCCAUGGCCAGGGUGAAGCUUGGGUAAAACCGAGUGGAGGCCCGCACCCACCAAUGUUGAAAAAUUGGGGGAUGAGCUGUGGGUAGAGGUGAAAUGCUAAUCGAACUCGGAGAUAUCUGGUUCUCCCCGAAAUAGCUUUAGGGCUAGCCUCGAAGGUUCAAUAGUGGAGGUAGAGCACUGAUUGGGCUAGGGUCCCCAUCCGGAUACCGAACCCAGUCAAACUCCGAAUGCCACUAUUUAAGACUUCGGGAGUCAGACCAUGUGAGAUAAGUUUCAUGGUCGAGAGGGAAACAACCCAGACCAUCAGCUAAGGUCCCCAAGUACAGGCUAAGUGGGAAAGGAUGUGGGAUCGCAGAGACAACCAGGAUGUUGGCCUAGAAGCAGCCAGCAUUUAAAGAGUGCGUAAUAGCUCACUGGUCAAGCGAUCCUGCGCCGAAAAUUUCCGGGGCUAAAGCCUGUCACCGAAGCUAUGGCUUGUUAGCUUUGCUAACAGGGGUAGGGGAGCGUUCCCUUCGGGUAGAAGUCGUGUUGGAAGGCACGGUGGACUGAAGGGAAGUGAGAAUGCCGGCAUGAGUAACGAGAGAUAGGUGAGAAUCCUAUCCGCCGAAAGCCCAAGGUUUCCUGAGGAAGGCUCGUCCGCUCAGGGUAAGUCGGGACCUAAGCUGAGGCCGAAAGGCGUAGGCGAUGGGAAACUGGUGGAAAUUCCAGUACCAUCUGAAAACCGCUUGUAGUUAAGGGGUGACGCAGUAGGGUAGGUUGAGCGCGGUGUUGGUUAUCCGCGUCCAAGCGACCAAGGUAGUAGGGGUAGGCAAAUCCGUCCCUAUGAUAAUCUGAGGCGCGAUGGGGAGCGAAACAAUAAGUAGUGAACUCGCUGAUCCCACACUGCCAGGAAAAGCCUCUAGCGAGGUUUUCAGAUGCCCGUACCGUAAACCAACACAGGUGGGCUGGGUGAGUAACCCAAGGCGACCGGGAGAACCCUUGUUAAGGAACUCGGCAAAAUGACCCCGUAACUUCGGGAGAAGGGGUGCCCCGUUAGGGUGAUUGCAAUCGCAUGAGCCCGAGGGGGCCGCAGUGAAUAGGCCCGAGCGACUGUUUACCAAAAACACAGGUCUCUGCUAAGUCGUAAGACGAAGUAUAGGGGCUGACGCCUGCCCGGUGCUGGAAGGUUAAGGGGCGAAGUUAGCUCUCGAGCGAAGCUUCAAACCUAAGCCCCAGUAAACGGCGGCCGUAACUAUAACGGUCCUAAGGUAGCGAAAUUCCUUGUCGGGUAAGUUCCGACCCGCACGAAAGGCGCAACGACUUGGGCACUGUCUCAACAAGGGACCCGGUGAAAUUGAAAUACCUGUAAAAAUGCAGGUUACCCGCGACUAGACGGAAAGACCCCGUGGAGCUUUACUGUAACCUGACAUUGGGUUUUGGUAUCGGAUGUACAGGAUAGGUGGGAGGCAUGGAUACCGGGGCGCAAGCCUCGGUGGAGCCAUCCGUGGGAUACCACCCUUCCGGUACCGAAAUUCUAACCGCGAGCCGUUAUCCGGCUCCGGAACAGUGUCAGGCAGGCAGUUUGACUGGGGCGGUCGCCUCCUAAAGAGUAACGGAGGCGCCCAAAGGUUCCCUCAGCGCGGUUGGAAAUCGCGCGCAGAGUGCAAAGGCACAAGGGAGCUUGACUGCGAGAGAGACAUCUCGAGCAGGUACGAAAGUAGGGCUUAGUGAUCCGGCGGUUCCGAGUGGAAGGGCCGUCGCUCAACGGAUAAAAGCUACCCCGGGGAUAACAGGCUUAUCUCCCCCAAGAGUCCACAUCGACGGGGAGGUUUGGCACCUCGAUGUCGGCUCAUCGCAUCCUGGGGCUGUAGUAGGUCCCAAGGGUUGGGCUGUUCGCCCAUUAAAGCGGUACGUGAGCUGGGUUCAGAACGUCGUGAGACAGUUCGGUCCCUAUCUGUCGCGGGCGUAGGAGACUUGAGUGGAGCCGUCCCUAGUACGAGAGGACCGGGACGGACGGACCCCUGGUGUACCAGUUGUUCUGCCAAGAGCAUUGCUGGGUAGCCACGUCCGGACGGGAUAAGCGCUGAAGGCAUCUAAGCGCGAAGCCCUCCACAAGAUGAGGUCUCCAGCCUACACUCGUGUAGGGUAAGACCCCAGAUAGAUGAUCUGGUUGAUAGGCCAGAGGUGUAAGGAGAGCAAUCUCUUUAGCUGACUGGUACUAAUAGGUCGAGGCCUUGACCUCUU
rnacentral:rRNA from 1 species